rnacentral:rRNA from 1 species
AGCAGCCGCGGUAAUUCCAGCUCCAAUAGCGUAUAUUAAAGUUGUUGCAGUUAAAAAGCUCGUAGUUGAAUUUCGGGAUUAAUAUGUUGGUCGUGCCUUGAUACGUACUGGCAUUAUUGAUUCCUACCUUCUGAAGGACCUCGAUGUCAUUAAUUUGGUGUCUUGGGGAAUCAGGACUGUUACUUUGAAAAAUUAGAGUGUUUAAAGCAGGCUCGCGCUUGAAUACAUUAGCAUGGAAUAAUGAAAUAGGACGUUUGAUUCUAUUUUGUUGGUUUCUAGGAUCGACGUAAUGAUUAAUAGGGAUAGUUGGGGGCAUUAGUAUUCAAUUGUCAGAGGUGAAAUUCUUGGAUUUAUUGAAGACUAACUACUGCGAAAGCAUUUGCCAAGGAUGUUUUCAUUAAUCAAGAACGAAAGUUAGGGGAUCGAAGACGAUCAGAUACCGUCGUAGUCUUAACCAUAAACUAUGCCGACUAGGGAUCGGAUGAUAGUUUAAUUUUUAAUUGACUUCAUUCGGCGUACC